rnacentral:rRNA from 1 species
GAGAGUUAAAUAGUACGUGAAAUUGUUGAAAGGGAAACGAUUGAAGUCAGUCAUGCUAGUGAAAAAUCAGUUUGACGGGUUUUGAGUUCAGGAGUAGAGGCAGGGUCAAACCGUUUCUUUUUUGAACUUGGGAUUUGUUAGAUGUACUUUUUCUUUGGCAGGUCAGCGUCGAUUUCGAAGGUUGUAAAAUACUUGGGGGAAAGUAACUCUGCUUCGGGAGAGUAUUAUAGACCCUGGGGGAUGCAGCCUGCGGGAUCGAGGAUUGCAGCAAAUGCCUUUGGCUUGUCGCCUGAUCUCUGGAUGUUACCUCGCUUGUGACAACAUUCUUGCCACCUGUGGGUACUAAUGCCCAUUAGGUUAGAGCGAUCAAAAAUUUUGCUAAGGAUGCUGACGUAAUGGCUUUAAACGA